rnacentral:tRNA from 1 species
AUCUAAAUAGUUUAAUAAAAGCAUUAGUUUGUGGUACUAAAGAUAUAUAAAUAUAUUUUAGAUU